rnacentral:rRNA from 1 species
UACGUAGGGGGCAAGCGUUGUCCGGAUUUAUUGGGCGUAAAGAGCGUGUAGGCGGUUUGGUAGGUCCGCUGUGAAAACUCGAGCUCAACCUCGAGACGCCGGUGGAAACCAUCAGACUAGAGUCCGGAAGAGGAGAAUGGAAUUCCCGGUGUAGCGGUGAAAUGCGCAGAUAUCGGGAAGAACACCCGUGGCGGAAGGCGGUUCCUCUGGGACG